rnacentral:rRNA from 1 species
UGGGGAAUAUUGGACAAUGGGCGAAAGCCUGAUCCAGCCAUGCCGCGUGUGUGAAGAAGGUCUUCGGAUUGUAAAGCACUUUAAGUUGGGAGGAAGGGCAGUAAGCGAAUACCUUGCUGUUUUGACGUUACCGACAGAAUAAGCACCGGCUAACUCUGUGCCAGCAGCCGCGGUAAUACAGAGGGUGCAAGCGUUAAUCGGAAUUACUGGGCGUAAAGCGCGCGUAGGUGGUUCGUUAAGUUGAAUGUGAAAGCCCCGGGCUAAACCUGGGAACUGCAUCCAAAACUGGCGAGCUAGAGUAGGGCAGAGGGUGGUGGAAUUUCCUGUGUAGCGGUGAAAUGCGUAGAUAUAGGAAGGAGCACCAGUGGCGAAGGCGACCACCUGGGCUCAUACUAACACUGAGGUGCGAAAGCGUGGGGAGCAAACAGG